rnacentral:rRNA from 1 species
ACCUCAAAUCAGGUAGGACUACCCGCUGAACUUAAGCAUAUCAAUAAGCGGAGGAAAAGAAACUAACAAGGAUUCCCCUAGUAACUGCGAGUGAAGCGGGAAGAGCUCAAAUUUUAAAUCUGGCAGUCCUUGGCUGUCCGAGUUGUAAUCUAGAGAAGUGUUUUCCGCGCUGGACUGUGUAUAAGUUUCCUGGAAGGGAGCGUCAUAGAGGGUGAGAAUCCCGUCUUUGACACGGACUACCAGUGCUAUGUGAUGCGCUCUCAACGAGUCGAGUUGUUUGGGAAUGCAGCUCAAAACGGGUGGUAAACUCCAUCUAAAGCUAAAUACAGGCGAGAGACCGAUAGCGAACAAGUACCGUGAGGGAAAGAUGAAAAGAACUUUGGAAAGAGAGUUAAACAGUACGUGAAAUUGCUGAAAGGGAAACGCUUGAUGUCAGUCACGUUGGCUGGGGAUCAACCUUGCUUCUCGCUGGGUGUAUUUCCCGGUUGACGGGUCAGCAUCAGUUUCAGUCACCGUACAAGGGCAAGGGGAACGUGGCACUUCUUGGAGUGUGUUAUAGCCUUUUGUUGUAUGCGGUGGUCGGGACUGAGGAGCUCAGCACAGCUUCUUGCUUGUGCUCAGGAUGCUGGCAUAAUGGCCUUAAGCGACC